AAUGCUGCCGGCUGCUCCCAACGUGAGGCCCAGCCUCAGCUGUGGAGCAAAGGUGCACCUCCAGGAGCAUCUCCACCAAACCUCAACGAAGACCACCCCCCCCAGGAGGGGCAAGCUGGAACCCCCUGAGCUGACCUCCUGGGGCCUCCUUCGGCCCCUUUAACCAAGCACGGUGGAGCCCAGGCUAUCCUGUCCACGAUUGCACCGCAGACGGGCGCCUGAGUGCCCGCGAGCACACACUGCUUUCAGGUGAUGUCCUUAAACUUUGGAUCUCCUAGACGAGCUUGCCCCUCUCAGUAAGCCCCAGGCCUCCUAAGGCCAUUUCUCAACAGGAGCCGUGGGCCCUGGCACAGGUAGGGUGGAGCUUAGCACUCUCCCCUGUAGACUCAGAUGGCUCUCAUAUGCGUAUUUCUCUCUUUUUUUUUUUUUGGAGACAGGGUCUUGCUUGUUCUGUCACCCAAGCGUGAUCUGGUCUCACUGCAGCCUCAACCUCCGGGGCUCAAGCAAUCCUCUCGCCUAAGCCUUCUGAGUAGCUGAGACUACAGGCGUGCACCACCAUGCCCAACUAAUUUUUUUAAAAGUUUUUUUCUAGAGAUAGGGUCUUGCUAUGUUGCCCAGACUGGUCUUGAAUUCCUGGGCUCAAGCGAUCCUUCUGCCUCGGCCUCCCAAAGUGCUGGGAUUUCAGGCGUGAGCCACCGUGCCCAGCCACUAAUAUGUAUUGUCCAGACCUCUUCGCUAACCUCCAGAUCUGUGGCUCCAACCGCCUACCUGACAGUCGCCAAGCAGACCCCCUGCCAGGUCGCAGCCUCGGGCCAUGGUCCCUCCGUAUCCCCACACAUACAGCUGGGAACCUUGGUGUUACCCUUUCUGUUUCCUCUUCCUUCACUCUCCUCCCCUGACCCCCAGCCUAGCCCCCAUGUCUUGUCAACUUUGAGCUCCUGAAUCUGUCUACCCACCUCCGGGCCCCGGACCCCUCCACCCCGGACCUGGGAAAAGGCCCCUUACCUGAUCCCCAGAAGCCCUUGGCCUGUCCAAACCCGUCUCCAUACUCAGUGAGGUUUUCCAAGUACAGAUCUGACUGAAGUCCCCUGCGGCAGCCCUGUGCUGACAUCCAUUGCCCCAAGGAUAAAGACCUGGGUCCUCAGUCCCUCCACAGCAGCCUGCACCCAAGUCCCCUCGCUGAGCUCCAGCCACUGGCCCCGCUGGGCAGAAGUGACCAUGUGAUACAGAGCUCCCGCCUCCCCGGAGUGGGGUGAGAAUCUAAGAUCCCCGCUUCCCCAGGGCUGUGCAAGAGGCUGAACACCUGUGUGGACCUGUCUGCCCUUUGCCCCCACACGCUAGCUGACAGUAAGCCCCCCAGGCAGGCACACAGGAGAAGGAUAAAAAAGGAGACCCCCGUGAACUGCUCAGAACAGGCUCAGCCCCAGGGGGCCUCUGCCCCCACCUCCCCACGCUCUAUGGUUCUCUCUCCAUGAGGUCCAGGGCCUCCCAAGACCUUCAGGUACUAAACAGCCUUUGGUCACUUUGGUCACAGCAGCUUCAUUUACUGGGUGAUUCUCAGUGUGAUAACUGGAACUCGGCCUGACUCACCCAGGAUUAAACCUCUCCCGGCUGCCUUGUGCUCAGACCUGCCAUGGCAGGAAAACUUGGGGUUUGCAGAUUCUUAAAUGUUUUGUGUUAUAAGCCGGGAGCGGUGCCUCACACCUGUAAUCCCAGCACUUUGGGAGGCUGAGGCGGGCGGAUCACCUGAGGUCGGGGAUUCGAGACCAGCCUGACCAACAUGGAGAAACCCCGUCUCUACUAAAAAUACAAAAUUAGCCAGGCAUGGUGGCGCAUGCCUGUCAUCCCAGCUACUAGGGAGGCUGAGGCAGGAGAAUCGAUUGAACCUGGGAGGCGGAGGUUGCGGUGAGCCAAGAUUGCGCCAUUGCACUCCAGCCUGGGCAACAAGAGUGAAACUCCGUCUCAAAAAAAAAAAAAGUUUUGUGUUAUAUGGAUUCCAGUUCUCAGCUGAAAAAUCUCCACCUUUUCAUCUACUUUCUCCCUUGCUUCCUCCAUCUAAACAAAAACGCACAGAGUUCGAACUCUAAACAAAAACUCACAGAGAGUUCAGGGGUUCUCUGCUGCGACUUCCACUCUCUGGCUUUGUGUGCAUCCGUUUCCACGGGCUAUUUUUCCUCUUGAUUUUUGGCCCUGUGGUCUCUGAAUGCUGGAUGUCAUGCGCUGAAGCCUGGAGACUCCAGAUCCGGGGUCAGCAAACUGCAGCGGGGGGCAGCCGCCUGCUUUUGUGAACGCAGCGUAUUGAAACACACCCAUGCCCAUUUGUUCACAGAUGCUCUGUGGCUGCGUGUGCCCUACAGCAGCACGGUUCAGUAGGCAGAGGCCACUUCUACUACCCGGCUAAGGAAAAGAUGGGCAGAGCCUGCUCUGGAUGACGCUGUGUUCCAGCCGGCGGAGAGGGUCCCCCAUUUCCUCGGUAAGGAGGGUGACCUCCUCGCUCCAAUCAGGGACUGAGCUGAGCUGAGGACAAGCUGCCCUUUCGCUUCCAGUCCUGCCACAGUCUUGAAGAAGAGAUCAGCUUUCGCGUCUUCAUUCUUGCCAAGAUUAGCUGCCCUUCGAAUCUCCCGUGUGUCAUUAAUCCCAGCACGAACAAGCACUUGGGAACUGCGGGCUGCAGAUGGUCUGCUUAUCCUACGGAACCCUCCUCUUUUGAGGCUUAACCCCUUUAGUCUUUGUUGCUUCUGUAGCUUUCUGAUGCCAUUAAAGAGAUGAUUUUUAUA
rnacentral:lncRNA from 1 species